UCCUUGCCGGGAAAGUGUCAGCCAUCCGGAAAAGCCAUCGGGAAAAAAGGCGGGUUAUAGUUCGCUUGUCGGAAAGUUGCCGCUUGCUUGUUAAGCCGAUAUUUAUUUGACCGGACACACAUUCAUAAAUACCAUUUAUUACUGGCAGUUGGAAACAUUACUUCGCAUGUUGCAAACUCGAAGGGUUUAUUUCGCCGGGCAUCAACUGGGCAAUGGCAUUUAUUUCACGUGUUGUCUUCGUAACCCCUGUACACUGCAGGUGCAGGCCAGUUCAUCAUUUCCUGAUGUAACAAUUAAGAAGCACGGAGUAGGGAUUUAGCUCGUAUUGUUUUUUGUUUAGCUCAAUUUGAAGCAAGCCCUUGCAUGGUGUUCUCACAGCAUACAUUUCUUCGAAAAGCUCAAACAGAUUGAAGAAGGUACAUACAGUACGCUCAAGCCCUUUACCAGACUCUAUACGUCGCCAGCUUCAUCGACAACUACCGACAGGAGCUCGCUACAUACCCUGCUUUGACUACAGGUACACAACAAGUACAAGCAAUAUACAAUAUUACUAGGAUUCAUGCUUGAGGAAAUACUUUUUGAACACAUAUCUUUGGCUAUAGACUCACUAUUUCACCGUUCAAAACCCCAUUCCUCAUCUCUCAAACACAGUGGCCACCAUGUCAUCUCCGAUGGCCUCUCCUGCUGCCUCGCAACAACCUUCUACAGAAACUUCGGUGAGCUUGUUUAUACAUUUGUUUUCUCUUAUUCAUCUUAUUUACAAAGAUUAUAUCUCUAUUUGUUCUUUAAUUUUCCGUAGACUUCUCAUCCAUCAA